CAGCGGCCCUGUCUCCACCCACUCAGCUGCAAUGUGGCGGCCGAGUAAGGGCCUCGGGAGGACGC
rnacentral:pre_miRNA from 1 species